rnacentral:rRNA from 1 species
GACGAACGCUGGCGGCGUGCUUAACACAUGCAAGUCGAACGGUGAAGCGCCUUCCUUUUUGGUGGGUGUGGAUGAGUGGCGAACGGGUGAGUAACACGUGAGUAACCUGCCCCCUUCUUCUGGAUAACCGCAUGAAAGUGUGGCUAAUACGGGAUAUUCUGGGUCUGUCGCAUGAUGGGUCUGGGAAAGAUAUUGUUUCGGUGGGGGAUGGGCUCGCGGCCUAUCAGCUUGUUGGUGGGGUGAUGGCCUACCAAGGCGGUGAGGGGUAGCCGGCCUGAGAGGGUGGACGGUCACACUGGGACGGAGACACGGCCCAGACUCCUACGGGAGGCAGCAGUGGGGAAUAUUGCACAAUGGGCGCAAGCCUGAUGCAGCGACGCCGCGUGAGGGAUGGAGGCCUUCGGGUUGUGAACCUCUUUCGCCAGUGAAGCAGGCCUGCCUCGUUUGUGGGUGGGUUGACGGUAGCUGGAUAAGAAGCGCCGGCUAACUACGUG